CCACAGAAAUUGCGUUUGUCAUUAAUACUGUAAUAUUGUGAUUGGAGGCAGGGGGGUGGCCUCAAUGGAGGUCCCUUCCUGCCCCCAAGAACCUCACUUUGCACAGAUGGCUCCCCGGAGCGCUGCUGCCACCUGGUGCCCAGCCUGUGCUUCCGGCGGGCACGGCUCAGUCAUGCCACAGGGCACUUCUGCCCCCUGCUGCCGGCUGAGAGCCUUCCUUGACUCUCCGCCAGCGAGAAGGCCCAAGAAACUGGACCAGGGAUGGGCAAUUUGCUGACCGCCCGCUUCUGCUAGCCAGCACGAUUACUCCUGGAAAACUCGGCCAUUUCCAAAUCUAUCUUUGCUUCGACUACAAAGCUCCCCGUGGACCCAUACCAAAAACAGUCUGGCUCCUGCAGGUUUUCCCUUGGGUUCUGCCAGACUGCAGGUCUUUCCAGGGCUGAGCCUGCAUCUCCUCUUUGCCGUGCCCUUGGUGCCCAGGUCAAGGGGAAGUCACAACAAGAGACACUCAUCUGCCUGAGCCUAGAAGUCAGAACAGAGGAAGGAAAGCAGAUGACCACAGAAAAGUGACCACUGGGCAGGGCAGAAGGAAGCACUGAGUCCAGGGUUGAGUGGUUGAGAAACCUUAUUUGGGAAAUGCUGACUUUAAAGCCACAGGCCUUUACACCAAGCCAUUCCAUCCCAGGAGCACAAGAAUUCAGCCACAUAUUGUACUCGGCAAGAGACUCUGAUGCAGAAAGAUUAGCUGGUCAAGUGGAUGAUGACUUCAACUUCUAGCCAUUUAUAUUGAAUGAUCUCC